rnacentral:lncRNA from 1 species
GAUGACUUCAGUGUCUUCUUGCAAUGUGCAGACAGGGAACUUAUAGCUGAAGUCUUCCAUGAAGUUCUUGGUGCCUGGAAAGGUUUCUGAAGUUCAGUUUACACAAGGAAAAGAUGAACAAAAUCUAUCCGCUAUUCUCAUAUGUCCAUGAAUUGUUUGGGUCAUUAGACAGAAAUAGUGUGCAGAAUUUGUUGACAAGAAGAUGAUUCUUUUGUUCAGAUGAAUUUGUCGAUGUCUUCUUCAUUGUACAUAUACAUUGGUUUUCUUGGCAUAGACAAGAGUAUUAUUGAAACAGAGGAAUGCAAAUUCAUUAAAUUGUAAUGAAUAGUUUGACAUGGGAAUAAUUUGCGAAAUACAAUGAUUGAUUUUUACUGGAAUUUUACUGUUGCAUCUCAAUGUUCAUGAAUUGUACUUUGACUCCUGCUUAAAGAGAUCCUCCUAUUACAAAUUUUUUUAUUUCUGCAACAGCCAUGCUUUACAGACCCUAUACUGAUAUAGGGUAGAGGCAGUAAAAAUAUAUGAAGCAAAACUGAAAUUUUACUGAGAUUUGCAUUAGGUGGAUUUUGGAAUUAAAAAGACAAACAAGGGGAAGGGAAUCAAAUGUAUAGAAGCACCACUCUUUGUGUUUGCGUGUUUCAAUUCGACCAUCAAACUAGAUUGAGAAUGAAUCUCCAAUUGAUUCAUAAACCUCGGUGGCAAAGAGGUUAGCAAAUGUAAGAGCCAAUCAAGUGAGCAUGUAGAAGGACAGGAACUACAUAACAAUACGUCACAAAUUUUGACAGGAAAACUCAGUGGUACAAAAUAAUUCCGCUACUUAAUAGGCCAUCAUACUGCCAAAAGGGACCCAAAAUUACUUAAAUGAGAGGAAGGAGGCUAAAAUGUGAACAUAAACCAUUUGAAAGUCAGGUCUUUUCUGACCAAUAAUCUUUUCUCAGUCUGCAAGAUCUUUUUUUUUUUUUUUUUUUCCCAACCAAAAUCCAGGAUUUGAUGACACCUCAACAGAGGCAAAAUCUCCAACGCAUUGACCUUCUCUUUUUAAAAACACAGGUAAAAUGCAAGCAUCAUAUUAACUAAGAUAUUGAAAAAGGAUCAUACUAACUAAGACAUCACUUCCAAGUGAACUAGCUCUUAUGGCGAUUUUGCAGGGAAACACAGCCGAGAAUGACAGCUCAAGCUGUAAUUUGCCCACUCUAUUAGGCCAUAAUGGUUUCAUAACAACAACAGUGCUGACUUUCACAGACAAUCAUAUCAAUCAUUUUUCAUUUCUUCAGAUAUGGUUUACAUAUGGAAAUCAAAUUGUUUAACUUUAAAAGCAUGACUAACCAAUAAUUUAAUUAACUCAAUUUGAGUUGGGAGCUUCCAUAUCAAAAUUUGAAUAUCAAGACCAAGUCAGUAUCCCAAACACCAUAAACAUCAAAAGAACAUGUAACUUUUUUUGUGCGUGAAUGAAGAAUCAACUCACCUUCAAGAGGAAAUCUCUGCGGAUCUUCUAAUACCAGUUUGGUGAAAAGAACCAUGGAACUGGAACAUGGAGGGAACGUGAAGUUAGUUGUUACACUCGGAAUAUGGAGGGGAAUAUUACUAGGAUCUUUUGAAAUAUUAUUAGUGCGUGGUGACUUUGAUUGGGCUCCAGGCGCAAGGCCCAAAGCCUUUCUAUCUGUUGAACAAGUCUAAACCCGUUGGGACCCAAAAGAAGAAAUUUCUUUCCCCGUUACUAUGAUGGAAUGGAUCCAAAUCCAAUUAAACAUUUUUUGAAGGGAGACUGUGAGAGCAUCGGCAAAUUACUAAAAUAGCACAAAGUUAUAAAUAUUUUCUGAAAUCGACAAGCUUUCCUGAAAUCCUGGAUGCUCG